rfam:Ipomoea nil DNA, scaffold: scaffold2610, cultivar: Tokyo-kokei standard.
CCGACCUUAGCUCAGUUGGUAGAGCAGAGGACUGUAGUGGUUAUUACCUGAAUGAGAUCCUUAGGUUUCUUGUUUGAAUCUGGUAGGUCGGA